rnacentral:lncRNA from 1 species
GGAAACACAAAAAGACACAAAGACUUGAGUUGUGAGCUUAAUACUCAGUUGCAUGCGAAUCUGAAAAAAUUAAACACCAUGAAGGGGUAAGUCACAAAGACUUAGUGAGGAGACAACAACAACCAUCAACUAGAAGGGAAACACAAAAAGGAACGAAUAACUUUUUUACAAUCUUGUGGCGAUUAUGUUAUACACAUAAUAAAAUCAUUAAACUUAUAAUUUAGUUGUUUAGAUAGAAAUAUUAAAAAUUCAAUUAAUAGCGAAGCGAAAUCAAAAUGAAUAAACUUAAAAUCAUCAUAAAAAUCAAACAAGUAAAAAUACAAAUUUUUGAGAACCAAGAGGUGGCUUCAUCUCAUUUAUAGCCCUUUCCUCCUAAGGGUGGCCUUUCCCUUAGGGGUAGCUCCAUCUAACGGAUAGCCCUCUCCUCUCAAUCCCGCAACGCAUCAUCACACAUCAAUCAGGGAGCUUACAUCUCGUUGAUAGCUCUCUCCUCCUAUGAAUGACAUUUUUCAUAGGGGCGGCUCCAUCUAACGGGUAACUCUCCUUAAUCAAAACGAGUUAACUAGGUGCACCUACUGCCAUUAACGAUUUCACAAUUUUAACAACGAUUUUCACAACACAUAUUUAAAACCCAUAAAUAAAUCAAACUACAAACAUAUCACAUAACAAAGACCAUAAAAAUAAUUAAGGAUAAAAUCGAGAAAAUAUCAAAGGUUGUGUUCCCCAAUUUUUUAAUAAAUAUUUUAAUAUAGAAAUUAUAGUAUUAUAAAAUAUAUGACAUGAUCGUCGUCUACUCACAACUAUGAAGAGUCGACUACGUUUGUUCUCCAACAACUCCCAGAAUAGCCGGCAGGACCUCAGCUAACAAAUCUGAGUAUCAAAAAUAUUCUCAAAACUUUAGAAAAAUUAUUCUAAAGUUUAGCUAAUUCUAAGAAACCAUAAAAAUCAUUUAAAUCUACUCUAGGCACAAAAUAAGAUUUUUAAACAAAACUACAUUUUUCUAGAGAUUCAUAUUAGCAUUAGAGUUGUGUAUUUAUUUCAAAUAGUCUCAAUAAAUAACUCUCAAGAAAUGCGUACCAUUCUCCUUCCUUAGAACACAAACCCUAACCAAAAAUCCUAAACAAGAGAAUUUGUAAGAGUAUGACAAAUUAUAUUCUUGAGGAUAUUAUAUUUAUUAUAAGGGUUGAAGGUUUACGUGUUGUAGAUGAGAAGAAACAAGGAGAAAAAAAGAAGAAAAAAAGACAAAAAAAAAAAAAAAUGGGAGAAGGGGUUGUCUUGGCCAAGAGAGAGAAGAAAGAGGAGAAGAAUGAGAGAGUGAGAUAGAGAGAGAAUGAGAGUGGAUGGUUGAUGUGUUUUAUUUAUUUAUUUAUUUAUUAUUAUUAUUAAUUAAUUAAUUAAUUACUAUUAUAUAUUUUUUUAAAUGACACGUGGCGUGUCAAAACCCUUAAGCCACGAGAACCUCAUUUAUGAGGUUUUUUUUUUUGAGUACCCUCUUUCUGAAAAAAAAAAUUCACAAAUGCCCGCUUUUGAAAACUAUAUACCUAAAUGCCCCCCUUUUUUUUUACUUACAAGUCGCCAUUUGGAAUGGCAACUUCCUUAAGGAAGCCCAAGUUCCAAAUGGCGACUUCCCACUUGAUUUUUUUUUAAAAAAAAAAUUCAAUUUUUUUUUUAAUUUUUAAUAGAUAACAUAAAUAUUAUAUAUAUAAUUAAUUAACAUAGAAAUUUUAAAUUAAAAAAUAUUUUACCAGAUGGAUUCCCCUCUUUAGCACUCACACAAUAAAUGCGUCCUCUAGCAGUAGGACGGGUAGCUCUAGCUACAUUCACAACUGGUUCCACCUUUGGAGCCGUGCAAUCCUUCGCCAUGUGUCCUGGAUUCUGACAAGUGUAGCAGGUGAGAGUGUUAGGGGUACAAGCGUUAGCAUAAUGUUCCUCUUCCCCACAACGGAAACAUCGGACCACUCGUCCCAGUUGUCUCCUGAAAUUCUGGUUCCCCGGGCGAUUCUUCCCACCGUUGUUAGUUCGUGGUCGAUCAUAGGGUUUAGCAACUUGUUUCCCCUUGUUGUUCUGGUAAUUCACCCGACUAGGCCCUCCUGUACCAAAAUUCCCUCCUCGGCUAGCUCUCUUAUUCUUCAUAUCCUCAACUUCCCUAAACUUUUCCACAAGGGCUUGGAAAUGUUGGAUUCCCAAGGGUAAGACGGAGUCUUGAAUCUCAUACUUCAGUCCGUCUUGGAAACGAUGACACAUGAAUGGUUCAUCAAUUUCUUCACGGAAGAACCUGAAAUGCCUCGAUAGCGAUUCAAGCUUAGCAGCAUAUUCGCCCACGGUCAUGCUCCUCUGGUGAAGUUUCAGAAAGUCGUCACCCAGUUUAGUCCUGGUACUCAUCGGGAAGUAUUUGUCUAAAAACUUCCUUUUAAAUGAUUCCCAGUUCACCUCCUCGUGGGCUGCUCCCAUCAAUAACCUUGCACUCCUCCACCAGUACUCAGCAUCCCCCAACAGCAUAUAAGUGGCAUAGCUGACCUUCACCCCCGCCUGACACUUUAUCAUAUCAAAGAUCUUCUCCACUUCUUGGAUCCAUUGAUCCGCCUUCUCUGAACCCUCAUCCCCUUUGAACUUAGGAGGAUUGUAACGACGGAAGUCUUCUAACCCUCUUGACUCUGCAGCACGGAUCUCUCUCCCCCUCUUUUCAAGACCCCGUUGAGUCUUGGCAGCAGUCUGUGCAGCCACAGAAGCAGCCAUGUUAUUCAUAGCCUCCGCCAUUUGAUCAUUCCUAUUAGCGUUGUCUCUCGGAGCGUCAUUCCUUCUUGGCGGCAUGGUUUCCUAUAAAACCAUCAUCAAGUAGAGUCUUAACACUACUUCAAAAUAUUCCCAAACUCACGUCCGACUAUAACAACACAUAAUAAUCAUAUUGGACUUGACAACUCAAGUCACCUAAACCGACACAUGAUCAGAUGACAACUCCCAACUUAAAGGUCGACCUACAAUCCUAGAAUCUAUAACCAAGGUUCCACAGCUCCCAAAGAAAACCAAACCAAAGCUCUGAUACCACAUUGUAACGCCCCGUUUUUCAAAAGAAAUUAAACUGAAACAGAGAAAUAAACAAAAAAAUGUCUUUGGAUAAAUAAUUGAGUCAUUAUAAUUUACAAGCAGCGGAAAAGUUUCUCCAAAUAUAAAUCCAAAGCAUUUACACAACAACAAAUGGUACAUGGGAUCCAUUCUUAAUAUGAUGUCAAACUGACAAUAUUAGUAUAGUACAGUUUUUCCAAAUCAAAAUAGACACCUAGUUCCUAUACAUCAUCCUAAUCUGAUCAUCCUACCAAAAAGCUAUACACCCUGAGUAUCUCCACGCGCCCCGUGAGAUCCUCCUAAUGUAACUGCAAUCACGCGUUCCCAUCUCCAUUCCCGUUCGUAGGGUACGAACCGGUAGGAUCGUCCUGACUCUCAUCUAAGGGCAAAGCCCAGAUUUCCACAAUAAUUGUAAAGGGUCACCAACUGAAAUUAACAGAUAACACAUAACAUUUAAGUUUUAAAUGCACAAAAUAACCUUUCAACUAAGCAUGCACCUUAAAAGGAUUUUCCAUAUGCUAAAAGUUCAUAUAAUGCUUGCCAAUUAACAAUGAACUCAAAAUGAAGUUCUCAAACCAUCAAGUAACAAUAAACUCAAAAUGAAGUUCUCAAACCAUCAAGUAAUACAUAACUGACCAAAGCAUUGAUAAAUCAAUUGAGCAAUCGAUUAUCUAACUCAAAAUAAGGACUUUUGUUGAGCCAAUCGAUUGCCAAAUCAAUUUGGUCAGUUCUGCUGAGUUUCUGCAUGACCAAAUCGAUUUCUAAGUCGAUUUUGUCAGUUCUGAUGAGUCCCUGUGUUGCCAAAUCGAUUUCCAAAUCGAUUUGGGCAGUUUUGCUGAGUUCCUGCCUCUCUGCCAAUCGAUUUCCAAAUCGAUUUCUUAAAAGAUUUUGAAAGACAUAUUUAUACAAUCGAUUGGCAAAUCGAUUAGGUCAAAAUGGUGAACUUCCUGCAACUCAUCCAAUCGAUUGGGAAAUCGAUUUCCCUCAUCAUUUUUCCAAAAAUUCAUAACUAACUCAAUCACAUUCAUACAUAAUCUCAAAUCCUAACACUUAGCACUGAUAACGCAAUCGCUACAACAUCAUUAGUUUCGAAAUAGUAUUGCAAGCAAACAUGUUAUCACCAAAUUCCAAAACAUAACACUUAACAUUUAUAACACAAUUAAUACAACAUCAUGGGUUUCAAAAUGGUAUAGCAAUCCAACAUGUUAUCACCAAAUUCCAAAACAUAACACUUAACAUUUAUAACACAAUCAAUACAACAUCAUGGGUUUCAAAAUGGUAUAGCAAUCCAACAUGUUAUCACCAAAUUCCAAAACAUAACACUUAUAACACAAUUACUACACAUACCAAAUGAACCAACAAUUCACAAUUUAACAGGGUGUAGUCUCUCACGGACAAACACCUGUGCAGUCUCUCACGGACAAACACAAUUCCCUCAGGAACGUAACUCGUAAACGUACCACCUAUCACGGGUCAGUACUGUUUACCGAGGUGCCACCUAUCCCGGGUCUGCACAACUUACCAAACGUAAAUCGUAAACGUACUGUCUAUCACGGACCCGUACCGUUUACCAAGGUGCCACCUAUCACGGGUCUGCACGAUUUACCAAAACAUACAUAAGUAAACGAGACAUUAAGAGAUUCCCCAUUCUUAAUUCUCAUCUAACUUAAACCAGGGCGUAGUCUCUCACGGACAAACCCCUGCGCAGUCUCUCACGGACAAACGCAAUUCCCGCAGGAACGUAAAUUGUAAACGUACUACCUAUCCCGGGUCCGUACUGUUUACCGAGGUGCCACCUAUCCCGGGUCAGCACAACUUACCAAAACAUACACGAGUAAACGAGACAUUAAGAGAUUCCCCAUUCUUAAUUCUCAUCUAACUUAAACCAGGGCGUAGUCUCUCACGGACAAACCCCUGCGCAGUCUCUCACGGACAAACGCAAUUCCCGCAGGAACGUAAGUCGUAAACGUACUACCUAUCACGGGUCCGUACCGUUUACCGAGGUGCCACCUAUCCCGGGUCUGCACAACUUACCAAACACAAUUCCCUCAGGAACGUAAGUCGUAAACGUACUACCUAUCACGGGUCCGUACUGUUUACCGAGGUGCCACCUAUCCCGGGUCUGCACAACUUACCAAACACAAUUCCCUCAGGAACGUAAGUCGUAAACGUACUACCUAUCACGGGUCCGUACCGUUUACCGAGGUGCCACCUAUCCCGGGUCAGCACAACUUACCAAAACAUACACGAGUAAACGAGACAUUAAGAGAUUCCCCAUUCUUAAUUCUCAUCUAACUUAAACCAGGGCGUAGUCUCUCACGGACAAACCCCUACGCAGUCUCUCACGGACAAACGCAAUUCCCGCAGGAACGUAAGUCGUAAACGUACUACCUAUCACGGGUCCGUACCGUUUACCGAGGUGCCACCUAUCCCGGGUCAGCACAACUUACCAAAACAUACACGAGUAAACAAGACAUUAAGAGAUUCCCCAUUCUUAACGCCCAGUUAACUUAAACAAUUUUCCAAACAAAAUAAUAAGUAACCGAGACAUUAAGAGAUUCCCCAUUCUUAACGCCCAGUUAACUUAAACGGUUUUCAAAACAAAAUGUUAAGUAACCGAGACAUUAAGAGAUUCCCCAUUCUUAACGCCCAGUUAACUUAAACAAUUUUCCAAACAAAAUAACAAGUAACCGAGACAUUAAGAGAUUCCCCAUUCUCAACGCCCAGUUAACUUAAACAAUUUUCAAAACAAAAUAAUAAGUAACCGAGACAUUAAGAGAUUCCCCAUUCUUAACGCCCAGUUAACUUAAACGAUUUUCAAAACAAAAUAUUAAGUAACCGAGACAUUAAGAGAUUCCCCAUUCUCAACGCCCAGUUAACUUAAACAAUUUUCCAAACAAAAUAAUAAGUAACCGAGACAUUAAGAGAUUCCCCAUUCUUAACGCCCAGUUAACUUAAACGAUUUUUCUUUAAAACAAAAUAUUAAGUAACCGAGACAUUAAGAGAUUCCCCAUUCUUAACGCCCAGUUAACUUAAACGAUUUUUCUUUAAAACAAAAUAUUAAGUAACCGAGACAUUAAGAGAUUCCCCAUUCUUAACGCCCAGUUAACUUAAACGAUUUUCAAAACAAAAUAUUAAGUAACCGAGACAUUAAGAGAUUCCCCAUUCUUAACGCCCAGUUAACUUAAACGAUUUUCAAAACAAAAUAUUAAGUAACCGAGACAUUAAGAGAUUCCCCAUUCUUAACGCCCAGUUAACUUAAACGAUUUUCAAAACAAAAUAUUAAGUAACCGAGACAUUAAGAGAUUCCCCAUUCUUAACGCCCAGUUAACUUAAACGAUUUUUCUUUAAAACAAAAUAUUAAGUAACCGAGACAUUAAGAGAUUCCCCAUUCUUAACGCCCAGUUAACUUAAACGAUUUUUCUUUAAAACAAAAUAUUAAGUAACCGAGACAUUAAGAGAUUCCCCAUUCUUAAUACUCAUUUAACUUAAUGGUUUUCAAAUUCCACACAAAAAAACUCAAACAAAUUCUCACAUUCAAUUCAUAAUUCACACCAAAACACAUCAAUCAACAAACAUCAAGUAUGAACAUGCCAAAUACGAUGAACACAAAUCAACAUAAUAAAUUUCAUUUAUUCAAAAUCUUACAUACAUGAGGUAAAAUCAUUUUUCCCAAAACAAUACUCCAAUCCUAACACAAUUCGUUUCCACACAACCACAGAUAAGGCCCUAGAUGCAAACUAAAAGUUUGGAAGGAGCCCUUACCUUAACGUUAGCUCAAACGUGCGUUUCCGGUACCGUGAGUAAAUCCGGUAAAUUUUCCGCUCGCAACACCGCUUCCAAAACUGGUCCACUAGCGCCGUAGCACGGUAGUGAGCAACUUUCCCUUCUAACUCUUCGCGAAAUGAAGCUUGGAUCUAGAAGAAACGAAGGGGUUUGUGUUUGAAUCUCAAAUACCGUUUUUCUUCGUUUUCGGAUCAAAGAGGAAGAGUGGAGUUGCGAAACCUUUGUUCUAACACUCACCCAACCUUGGGUUACUAGUCUUGAAGAAAAGAAAGCAACGAAAAUGAAAAUGGGAGAAGGAGGGAAAAUGGGUCGCGCACGCAGGGAGAGGAAGAAGAUGAAGUUUUGGAUUUUCUUUCCUUCCUUUUUCCUUUCUUUGUUUUUCCUUCCUUUCUAUUUCCUUCUUUCCUUUAUAUAACCUUUUCUCUUCCUUUUCCUUCCUUCUAAUUUUCUUUCUUUCUAUUCUCUCCAAACAGUUUAUGCAAAUCUACCUUAUGAUAUUUUCUCAUGUUCCUUGGAGGAUGUGGAAUUUCUUGAGGUAGUCCAAAUUGUAGUUUCACUCUAUUAGUUUGAUGCAUUUCUAUUAGGUAGAAACAAAUUAAAUAUGUAGAUGCAUUCCAUAGGCAAUUGUCUUCUGGAUGAUCGUAUGUUAGACCUAGAUAUGGCCUCCAAAUAAACUGAUAUAUAACAAGUUUGUUAGUAAUAUAUGCAUAAGAAAAGUAAAAUAAUAAAAAUAAUGUAAUGUUUUAAUAUAUUACAUCGUUAACGGUCAUGUGAUCAAUUUUUUAUAGAUAUCCAGCGGUAUGAUAACGAGGUGUAUCGCCAAAUUUCAUACCCUUUCCACUAUAUCUACGAAAAUAAAUUUGAAUGUUAGUAAAUAAAUUAAUAUAUUUAUAAAUAUAAUAUUUAACUUUUUUUUAUAUUAACCUUUUUGAGAAUGGAAAAUGAGGCUCAAAAUUACUUAUUGGUGCAAGAAACGGCAUAUGGUACCAUGCCCACGUUUGAAGUAGAUGUGAACAUCCCCGAUCGACAUAACACCGGGUUCAGAUGCACGACACAAUUCUCUAUAAAGUGUUGCCAAGCAUGCUGAACCCCAACUAUAUUGUCCUGUCUCUCGCAAAUCUCUCAACAAGUGCAACCACAUAAUAUGUACUCUGUUGUGAGAUUUGUAAGGCAUUAAUAUGCCGCCAAUCAAUUCUAAAAUGCAUGCUCUACAAUGUGACUUAGAGUUUCUGAGUUUUAUUAUUAUGUAUUUUCUUCAAAGAACACUUACAGGUUUUCUCUGUAUUUCUAGUUUAAGGCUUGGAUACUCAUUAUGGUUUGUUUAAGGUGUUCUGGCUUGGAUACUCACAAUUUUUUUUCAACUGUGAUUAAAAUUUAAUUUUAAUUACAUUGCAUCUAAUCUUAAUAAUUUGGUUUCUAAUUUAAAAUGUAUUCUAUGUGCAGGUUUAUGGCUGAAAUUAAUUUUAUUUGUGAGUUGAAGUGAUAUGGAGUACCAUUGAAGGCUUAAAUCUUGUUAUGUUGAUUUAUGGUCUCAUAAAUUAAUUUUACAUCUUUUUGAUUAUUAAACUCCAAAAUAUUAUUAACUUUGGCUUAAAAACCUCCGAGCCAAAAUCCAAAAUACACCAAAAAUACAUAAAUGGUACUUUAAAAUUAUGGGUCUUACAUUACUCCCCCCCUAAAAUUAGUUUCGUCCUCGAAACUAUGCAUCGAUAAAUAACUCUGGGUGUUGUUCUCUCAUCUUGCUCUCCAAUUCCCAAGUCGCAUCUCCAGUGAUUGGGUUCCAAAUAACCUUGACCAACGAAACAUCCUUGGUCCUCAACCGCUUAAUCUUCCUAUCAUCAAUUCUCACGGGUGGUACUUCGAACGACAGGUUAUCCUUUAGCUGGAUUGCGUCUGGUUCGAUCACGUGAGAUGGAUCUGCGAGAUAUUUCCUCAACUGUGACACAUGAAACACGUCAUGAAUAUUGGACAGUAUCGGAGGUAAUGCAAUGCGAUAAGCCACCGGCCCAAUUCGUGCAGAAAUCUGAUAUGGUCCAAUGAAUUUCGGAGUCAACUUCUUCGAUUUCAAGGCUCUACCUACUCCAGUAGUAGGUGUGACUCUCAGAAAUACAUGGUCACCCUGUUCGAAUUCCAAAAGUCUGCGACGCUUGUCCACGUAACUCUUCUGACGAUCUUGUGAAGUCUUCAUUUUCUCCUUGAUCUUCCUUACUUUAAUUGUGGUAUGUUGCACCAUCUCUGGUCCGACAAUCAUAUUCUCACCGUCUUUAUACCAACACAAGGGCGUUUGACACUUGCGCCCAUAUAAAGCUUCAUAUGGUGCCAUUCCAAUACUUGCGUGGAAACUAUUGUUGUAAGUGAACUCAAUCAACGGAAGUACAUCAUCCCAGCUUCCCCUAUCAUCUAAUACACAUGCUCUCAACAGAUCUUCCAAGGACUGAUUCGUCCUUUCAGUCUGUCCGUCCGUUUGUGGAUGGUAAGCUGAACUCAAUCGUAGCUUCGUUCCCAACGCUUCGUGCAAUGCUCCCCAAAAAUGCGAUGUGAACUUCGGAUCACGGUCUGAUACAAUGCUCGAUGGUACCCCGUGUAACCUCACAAUUUCAGCAAUGUAGAUCUCCGUUAGCUGAUCUACCUUAUAGGUGGUCCUUACCGGCAAAAAGUGAGCAGAUUUAGUCAGCCGGUCCACUAUCACCCAUAUAGAAUCAUUCUUCCUCCUUGUCUUCGGUAAUCCGGUUAUAAAAUCCAUGGAAAUGCUGUCCCACUUCCAUUCAGGUAUAUCUAAAGGUUGCAACAUUCCAGCAGGUCGCUGAUGUUCCACCUUCGCUUUCUGACAAGUUAGACAAGUGGAUACAUAUUCCGCCACAUGUUUCUUCAUUCCUGGCCACCAAUAAUUCUGCCUCAAAUCCUGAUACAUCUUUGUUGCUCCAGGAUGAAUACUCAGCUUACUCUUAUGCGCCUCUUCUAAAAUCGUUUUCCGCAUAUCUGUAAUGGCUGGUACACAAAUCCUACCAUUACACCGCAAAACAUUAUCUGCCCCAAUCUUGAACUCAGUCGUCUUCCCUUGUACUAUUAGAUUCCUCUUCUCUUGAAUUAAGACGUCAUCCUGAGAAUUCGCAAUGUCUUCAAGUAAUCCACUCGAGAUCUUAAUCAUUCCGAAUUUCAAAAUUCCCGGUCCGAACUCUACGUUCAAGUGUAGGUCUCUAAAAGCCUCCUGGUUCGGGGAAAAGAACCAAUUUCCGAGCACAAUCCAAGAUCACAUAGUGAUAAGACAUCCAAUCCAUACCGAGGAUGACCUCGAGUGAUUGUAGCGGUAAACAAAUUAGAUUAACCAAGAAAUCCCUAUUCUGAAUAGUCAUUCGACAAUGUAAACAUGCUGAAUUUACGGUUAAGGUCUUAGCAGGCGUGGAAACAACCAAAUCAAAAGGUAAAGCAGACACAGAUAACUUCAAGCGAUUCACACAGUCCAUAGCAAUGAAGGAAUGGGUUGCCCCCGAAUCAAAGAGUGCAGUUAGAGUGUUACCUGCAAUCUCACAAUCACGCUGAAUCAGAUUACCAGAUGGAUUUCCCUCUUCAGCAUUCACACAAUAAAUGCGUCCUCUAGCAGUAGGACGGGUAGCCCUAGCUACAUUCACCACUGGUUCCACCUUUGGAGCCGUGCACUCCCUUGCCAUGUGCCCCGACUUCUGACAAUUGUGACAGAUGGGGAUGUUAGUGGUACAAGCACUAGCAUAGUGUCCUUCUUUCCCACAUCGGAAACAUCGAAGCACUUGCCCCAUUUGCCUUCCGAAAUUCUGGUUCCCUGGGCGACUCGGUCCACCGUUGUUAUUCUGGGGGCGAUUAUAAGGUUUAGCCACUUGUUUUCCCCUAUUCUGAUAAGUCGCCCGACUAGGGCCUCCCGAAUUAAAAUUCCCAACUCGGCUAGCCCUCUUGUUCUUCAUAUCUUCCACUUCUCUACAUUUCUCUACCAGCGCUUGGAAACGUUGAAUUCCCAAAGGUAAGACGGAAUCUUGAAUCUCAUACUUCAAUCCGUCUUGGAAACGAUGACACAUGAACGGUUCAUCAAUUUCUUCACGGAAGAACCUGAAAUGCCUCGAUAGUGAUUCAAAUUUAGCAGCAUACUCGCCCACAGUCAGGCUCCCCUGGUGAAGUUUCAGAAAGUCGUCACCCAACUUAGUCCUGGUACUCAUCGGAAAGUAUUUGUCUAAAAACUUUCUUUUGAACGAUUCCCAGUUCACCUCCUCGUGGGCUGCUCCCAUCAACAACCUUGCACUCCUCCACCAGUAUUCAGCAUCCCCUAGCAACAUAUACGUGGCAUAGCUGACCUUCACUCCAGCCUGGCAGUUAAUCAUAUCAAAGAUUUUCUCCACUUCUUGGAUCCAUUGAUCCGCCUUCUCUGAACCCUCAUCCCCCUUGAACUUAGGAGGAUUGUAACGACGGAAGUCUUCCAACCCUCUUGAUUCUGCAGCACGGAUCUCUCUUCCCCUCUUUUCAAGAUCCCGUUGAGUCUUGGCAGCGGUCUGUGCAGCGACAGAAGCAGCCAUGUUGUUCAUAGCCUCCGCCAUUUGGUCAUUCCUAGCGUUGGCUCUCGGAGCGUCAUUCCUUCUGGGCGGCAUGGUUUCCUAUAAGAACCAUCAUCAAGUAGAGUUUUAACACUACUUCAAAUAAUUCUAAACUAACGUCCGACUAACAACACACAAUUAAAUUGGACUUGACAACUCAAGUCACCUAAACCGACACAUGAUCAGAUAACAACUCCUAACUUAUAGGUCGACCUACAAUCUAUAACCAAGGUUCCACAGCUCCCAAAGAAAACUAAACCUAUGCUCUGAUACCACAAUGUAACACCCCGUUUUUCAAAGCGAGGGUAUAUUUUUUUUUUUCUAAAAGUAAUUAAAACGAACAAAGAAUAAAUCAGGAAAUGCUUUUGGAUAAAUAAUUGAGUCAUUAUAAUUUACGCAGCGGAAAAGUUUCUCCAAUUAUAAAUCCAAAACAUUUUUACAUAAACAUCAAAUGGUACAUGGGACCCAUUCAAAGAUGAUAUAAAACUGAUAAUAUUUGUAUAAGUACAGUUUUCCAAAACUAAAAUACUCCAAACCAAAAAGAAGGACCCCUAGUCCCUAUACAUCAUCCUAAUCUGAUCAUCCUACCAAAAACUAUACACCCUGAGUAAUCUCCACGCGCCCCGUGAGAUCCUCCUAACACAACAGCAGUCAAGCGUUCCCAUCUCCAUCCCUGUCCGUAGGGUACGAACCAGUAGGGCCGUCCUGACUCUCAUCUGAGGGCAAAGCCCAGAUUUCCACAAUAGUGUAAAGGGUCACCAACCAGAAAAUAACAGUUAACACAUAGCAAUUAAGUUUUUGAAUGCUCAAAACAACUUUUUAACUAAGCAUGCACCUUAACAGGAUUUUCAAUGUGCGAAAAGUUCAUACAUUACAUUGCCAAUGAAAAUGAAGGUAAAAUGCAGUUCUCGAUCUCCUAAUUAACACAUGGUAAAACAAAACAUGGAUAGAUUCAUGAGCAAUUAAUCAUACAACUAAAAAUGAGGAUUUUCACUGAGCCAAUCGAUUGGGCAAUCGAUUGGGGUGAAGAUUUUUAAUGAAAACAGAAUCCUGGGCUGAAUUCAAUCGAUUGGUAAAUCGAUUGAUUGGUUCCUGAGCCCCUGGUUUCGAGCCAAUCGAUUUCCUAAUCGAUUUGGUGAGGGAUUCUUAAUGAAAACAGAAUCCUGGGCUGAAUUCAAUCGAUUGGUAAAUCGAUUGAUUGGUUCCUGAGCCCCUGACUUAAGGCCUAAUCGAUUGGGCAAUCGAUUUCUUAACUGAUUCCUUUGAAAAUUGUUUUCGAAAUCGAUUGGCUAAUCGAUUUUGUUCAUUUGGCCAAGCCCCUGACUUCCAUCCAAUCGAUUGGGAAAUCGAUUUCCCUGAUCAGUUUUCCAAAAAUUCAUGAAUUAACCUAAGUCAUUCCUAAUCAAGUUCACCACUUAACACUUAGCAAUUUCUACGCGAUUACUACGACACACAAAGGUUCGAUAACCAUCAUACUCACACACAAUACACAACACAUAGCACUUAACACCUUCAUCUCAGUUAUCACGAUAAAUCAAAAUUCGAAUCACUCAAUCAUAAACUCAAAUCAAACAUGACUCGCGUGCCAGGCACCCUAAUGCAAUGCGUAUAUGCCAAAAUGCAUGGACUCGGAAUUCCAAACCAAAACCCUCCUCGAAGGGCCGUAAAUCAUAAUUGUACCGCCUAUCGCAGGCCAAAGUACCAAUUACCGAGGUGCCACCUAUCACGGGUCAGCACGAUUUACUAAAAUGCGUAAAUCAUAAACGUACCACCUAUCACGGGUCAGUACAGUUUACCGAGGUGUCACCUAUCACGGGUCAACACGAUUUACUAAAAGAAAAAGCGGGAAUCGUAAAUGUACCACCUAUCACGGGUCAGUACAGUUACCAUGGUGUCACCUAUCACGGGUCAACACGAUUUACUAAAAGAAAAAGCGGGAAUCGUAAAUGUACCACCUAUCACGGGUCAGUACAGUUUACCAAGGUGUCACCUAUCACGGGUCAACACGAUUUACUAAAAUGUAAAUCGCAAACGUACAACCUAUCACGGGUCCGUACAGUUUACCAAGGUGUCACCUAUCACGGGUCAACACGAUUUACUAAAAUGUAAAUCGCAAACGUACAACCUAUCACGGGUCCGUACAGUUUACCAAGGUGUCACCUAUCACGGGUCGACACAAUUUACCAAAUGAAAUGCAUGAGCAUACACAGACUCCAUUCACAACAAUCGUUAAGCAAAUGCAGAUAUUAAAAGAUUCCCCAUUUUUAAUACCCAUUUAACUUAAACGACUUUCAAACAACAUUAAUUAAAUAAGUCAUUAAGAGAUUCCCCGUUCUUAAUACCGAUUUAUCUUAAUGAUUUUCAAAACAAAACGUUAAGCAAACAGUCAUAUUAAGAGAUUCCCCAUUCUUAAUAUACUUUUGACUUAAACGAUUUUCACACAAAAUAUUCAGUAAACGAGUCAUUAAGAGAUUCCCCAUUCUUAACACUCAUUUACCGGAACGAUUUUCAAAAACGAUCGUUAAGUAACCGGGACAUUAAGAGAUUCCCCAUUCUCAACGCCCAGUUAACUUAAACCUUUUCCUCAAAUGCACAUUAAGUAAACCGAGGUAUUAAAAGAUUCCCCAUUUUUAAUACUCGUUUAACUCUAAUGGUUUUCAAAUUCCACGGAAACAAACUCAAACAUACUCUCACAUUCAAACCAUAAUUCACAACAACCACACCAAUUAACAAACAUCAAGUAUGGACACGCCAAAUACAACGAACACAAAUCAAAGCCAACAUAACACCCAGAUACAUCAAAUUUCAUUUACCCAUAAUCAUACACAAUGACAUUCAAAUUCAUUUACCACGAAACAUUCAUCACUAUAAACAAAACCUAACUCUAAGGUUUUUACCCAUAACGCACUAGUUUCGUUUUUCCCCAAAUCGAUACAUUUAACCCUAACAAAUUCCUUCCCACACAACCACAGAUAAGUCCCUAAUGCAACUAGAAGUUUGGAAGGUGCCCUUACCUCAAUGUUAGCUUUAUCGUGCGUUUCCGGUACCGCGAGUAAUUCCGGUAAAAUCUCCGCUCGCAACGCCGCUUCCAAAUUAGUUCCCUAGCACCGUAGCGUGGUGGUGAGCAACUUUCCCUUCUAUCUCUUCGAGAAAUGAGGUUUGGAUCUAGGAGAAACGGAGGGGUUUGUGUUUGGAUCUCAAAAACCGUUUUUCUUCGUUUUCGAAUCAAAGAGGAAGAGUGGAGUUGCGAAAACCUUGAUCUAACUCUCACCCAACCUUGGGUUACUAGUUUUGAAGAAAAGAAAGCGACGAAAAUGAAAACGGGAGAAAGUAGAAAAAUAGGUCACGGUUAGAGGAAGAAGAUGGAAUUUUUCGUUUUCCUUCCUUUCUUUUUCUUUCCUUUGUUUUUCCUUUCUUCCUUUUUCCUUCCUUCCUUUUAUACUAUUUUCUUUUCCUUUUCCUUCCUUCUAGUUUUCCUUUCUUCUAGUUUUCCUUUCUUUUUCCCUCCAAACAAACAUAAAUAGAUAAUAAAUAUAACUUAACAAAUAUCUCAAAAUACCUAGACAUUUGUUAAAUUACCGUUUCACCCGAAACGCAUUAAAUUCUCCGUAAAGGAUUCACCGCACUUAAUUUAAAUUUAUUUAUCGACGAGAAAUUUUAAUUGGCAUCAAAACAUCUUUUUGAUUAUUAAACUCCAAAAUAUUAUUAACUUUGGCUUAAAAACCUCCGAGCCAAAAUCCAAAAUACACCAAAAACACAUAAAUGGUACUUUAAAAUUAUGGGUCUUACAGCCUACAUCAGGUCUAUGUCAGAUCAGGCUUUCUUUUUAAACAGAGAAGGUCAAGGCUUCUAAAAAAGCCUAUUUAAUUAAAAAGGUUUGGCUAUAGGCCACAUAAUAAACCUUUUACGCCGACCUAUUUAAAUAAAUAUAAAUAAUAUUUUUUUACCACUAUGAUUAUUAUAUUAAAUUUUGAUAUUUGUGUUAUAUAUAUUCAACUUUUAGUAAUUUACACAUAUUAACCUUAUUUAGUUUUUGGCAUAUUUAAAUGUAUUAUUAUAAAAUAUAAUUUAAGCAGGAUGUAUAUAUAGUCACAUUCUUCAAAAUGUGAUGUUAAAUAUCAAAAUAGAACUUAAUUUCAUUGACAUAUUAACUCAUUAAUCUAUUUAAAUAUAUGUUUGAUUACUUAUUCAAAAAUAUUAAAAUGAAAUAAGCAUUUAAGUAGGCUAAGAGACCAUAUCAGACUUCUAUCAAGGUCAGACUAAGGCCUAAAAAGUAAGCCUAUGACAGGACACACGCCAAGCGUAGGGCUUGAAUUUUUUGACAUGUCAGGCUUAUGCUUAGCAAAGCCUAACUCGACCCAGCCUAUUCCCACCCCUACUUGUACUAGUUCCAGUGAAGAGGCCAUAGAGCAAAAGCUUAAGCCAUUAUCCUUUCUCAUUUCAAAGUUAUUAUUUGGGAGGGGAGAAGCUCUCAACCAUGAUUCAUAUGAAAAAAUCUUUUUCUUCAAUCACUUCAAAACCUUCCCCAUCAUUUGUCACAGUUUCAUCACAGUCCCGGAGUUGGUGCCCAAUUCUCCCACAUAAAAAAAUCAGAAAUUGGGUCUGAUGUUUAGGUCUGAAGACUAGGUCUAAAGAUUGCCUCUAAAGAAUGGCUCUAAAACUGAGUCUAAAAACUGCCUCUGAAGAUUGAAUUUAAAGCAUGCCUCUAAAGCUCUUGCAUAUCUCUGAUGUACACAAACUUAGCAUAUACCUAAAGAGUUCAUAUCAAGGUAUAAUUAACUCUGAAGAUAUUAUUCAAAUCAUAAAGUCAAAGUUCACAAUCCGCUGAUCAAAAUGGUGCAACACACUCCAAAUGCUGCCUCUGAUAAGCAGCCUCUAAUGUUGCACCGACUCUGAAGUUUCAACAAGGUGAUUUUCCUAAUGUCACUAACUCUAAGUCAUGCAAUUCUACCUUUGAGUAUCUUUAUUCAAGAAACACGACAUCUAACUCAAACAAGAGAGUCAGUGCCUAUGCUGAAAAGUCAACGACUGAAAUUGAAAUAAUUAAGUAUGAAAAAAAAAAAUUAGCCGACUCCAAAACUUGUGAAUAUCCAAGAACAACCCGAAUCCAUUUCAGCUCAAAUCAAGAAAGAGUAUGAAAGAAGACUCGUGUUUUGAAAGACAAUCUAAAAUAAUAUUUGAUUUAGAUUUAUAAUUGAAGAAAAUAUUUGACCAAGUUGAAAAGAAUAUAUGAUAAAGAUUUGAAGAUGAUAUGAUUCAUAUCUUAUCAACAAAAGAUAUGAAUUAUUUACAAGAACAUUUGAUCAAGAUUUAUCACAAGAAGAUAUGAAUUAUUUAAAAGAAGAUCUGAUCAAGAUUUAUCACAAGAAGAUAUAAAUUAUUUACAGUAAUAUUUUAUCAAAAUUUAUCUACAAGAAGAUAUGAAUUAUUUACAAGAAGAUUUGAUCAAGAUUUAUCUACUAGAAGAUAUGAAUUAUUUACAAGAAGAGUUUAUCAUAAUCUACAAGAAUAUUUGAAUUAUUUACAAGAAGAUAUGAUCAAAAAUUAUUUAGAAAAAGAAACACUCAUAUAUAUUUGGCUUAAUUGCAGUUUUGGUCCCCCUAUUUUAGCUAAAUCGCGAAAGUAGUCCCUCCAUUUUGUUUCUCCCCAGUUUUGGUCCCCCAAACAGAAUUUUGGUCCAAAACUUGAUGAAAUUUCAUUUUUUUAAAGCCGUACUAUAUCAUUUAUGAUCAUAGAUAUCAUAUACAAUUGUUGCAAAUGAGAUCUUGAGGCAUGGUGUGACUUAAAUAAAUACAAAAAAAAAAUGAAAUUUCAUCAAAUUUUGGACCAAAAUUAUGUUUGAGGGACCAAAACUGGGGAGAAAUAAAAUGGGGGGACUACUUUCGCGAUUUAGCUAAAAUAGGGGGGACCAAAACUGCAAUUAAGCCUAUAUAUUUUUAUUAUUUGCAAAGAUAUGAUUCAAAUUUUGCAAAGACGGAUGAAAACCUCUAACUUAUUUUAUAAAUAGAUACACAAGGCUGAAGAACAAAAUAAGAUAACUUACGAGCACAAAAUUUACUAAGUCAUUAGAGUUCAUAAAGUUAAGAUCUAGAGAAACAUUUGCUCAAAAGAUAUAUUUUCUAAGUGUUUUCUAGUGUGAGAGUAAUUGUUACAACCAACUUGUUAGAAGCAAACAAAUUUGUUCCCAACUCUUGUAACCAUGUCUGAAUUUUGUGUUCCUCGAGAAAUUUGUAGAUUUUCAAGUUGUGAUGAGAAAAUUUGGUUUGUAGAAUCAAAGUGUUUGUUUUUCGUAGGUGACAAAUUAUUUUGAGAAUAUUGAUUUGUAGAGUCAGGUGUUGUGUAAUUCAAGUUUUGAAUUAGUGGAUUAAAUCAUGAAAGGACUAAACGUAGCUACUAAAUUGGUGGUGAAUCAGGAUAAAUUAUUGUAUCACUUUAAUUAUGUAAUUUUUGUUUUAUUUUUGUCUCUCAUCACUUAACUCAAUUGCUACUACUUUUAUUUUAAGUCACCAAACUCGAGUCAAUUUUAAAUAAAUUAACAAAAACAAUCAAACUUAGUCAAAACCAAUUCAAUUCUCUUUUCAUAUUUGCAGCUUUAGUAACCUUUGGAUCUGCUGCCUCAAAUUCUCCCAUGAUUGCCCCCAGUUUUUUUGCCAUGAACUCACUACGGAGUUUCAAGGGAAGGUCGCACACUCUUGUCCAGAAUGAGAUCGAACUCGUAUCCAUUUCAGACUACGAUGUUACGAUCAAAACUCCAUGGACCAGCCUUAAUCACAUUUUCUAAAUCUCGUAUUGAAAAAAAAACAAAAGAGAUACAGGUUCUUACCGAGUUCCUGAGUCUCUAUUAGGUUCUUAGGUCUCCAAAAUUCCACAAUCUUAGUUUUGAAAUCUCAGACAUUAUAACUGCUGUUAGUCCACAACUUUCCAACAGGGGAUCUUCUAAAGAAAUCCUCUUCCAUAUGUUCUUCAUCUUCCUCUGUAACCCCAAUCACGCCAUCUUCGAACCUAACAGCUUAAGACUCUUACGAAGACAAAAUUCAAAAUCCUGGAGAGCGCAGGGAGCUUCCAGGAUGAAACCUAGGGUAAGAUCCAAGAAAGGAAGUCUUUUUUAAUGUUGACUCUUGUUCAUUUAUAUAGCUUAUAUUUAAUUGCAAGUGAUAUCUUAAGUUUUUAGACUGUAACUAUCAUAUUGGUUAUUUGUACAUAGCUCUUUAUUUUCUAAUUUAUGGUGCCGUAUUUCAAAUUAGUAAGAAA